AACGAACGUUGGCGGUCUGGAUUAGGCAUGCAAGUCGCGGGAAUGCCAGCAAUGGCGGAACCGGCGUAAGGGGCAGUAAGGCAUGGGUACCUACCUGGAGGUGGGGUAUAGCCUGUAGAGAUACAGGGUAAUCCCGCAUAAUGUCGCAAGACCAAAGCUCCGGCGCCCUCAGAGGGGCCCGAUGUGAUAUUAGCUAGUUGGUGAGGUAACGGCUCACCAAGGCGAAGAUGUCUAGCGGGUGUGAGAGCACGACCCGCGCCACUGGCACUGAGACACUGGCCAGACACCUACGGGUGGCUGCAGUCGAGGAUCUUCGGCAAUGGGCGCAAGCCUGACCGAGCGAGACCGCGUGGGCGAUGAAGGCCUCGGUGUAAGCCUGUCGAGGGGAGAAAGGACGAACUUGAUCUAUCCCU
rnacentral:rRNA from 1 species